CUGAGCAUUAGGUGAAGGGACACAGCCAGCCCUGGGAGCACACGUGGAAACAAUUCACCUGUGUGAUUGGAAGGGGUGGAGCCUGGCUCCAUCCCUCCCUAUCCUUAUUUAAGUGUUGACUGCCACAAAGGAAGGAUUUUUUCUUGGAAAUCCUCUCCAUUAGCUUACUUGGAGAGCCCAAGUCCUUGGAAAAGAGUAAUUCACUUCUGUGCAGGAUCGCAGAACACAUGACAAGCUGGGUCGUAAACAUCCAUGGAAUUGCUGUUUACCUGUAGUCAGUAAUCACAACUUUCUGAUCAGCCUCUCAGGUACAGGUAUUAAAUCUUUACUGUUUAGUUGGCAGUUUUGAUAUAGCUGGUGAGGUUGCUUCAUUCAUGGGGUUUUGAUGAGAAAGCAGAAAUAUAUGGGAACAGUCAGAAAAUAUGAGGAAGAAACAUGUAGACAUGAAUAUAAUUUUUUUUUCCCAAAUUUCUGGGAAUUUGGGAAUUUGAGCUGGAAUUUGUCUCACUGCAGCUUGUACCCAUUGUCCUUUUUUGUUGUUGUUGUUGUGGACCUCCUAUAAAAUGCUAGAUUCAGCUUCUCUACAACCACACAUUGAAUAGUUGAAGAGAGCAAUAAGAUCUUCCAUUAACCUUCCCUUCUCUAGGCCAAACAGUCCCAGCAAUCUCAAGGAUUACUUACAUGUCUUAUGUUGUGUACCAUUAAUCAUCUUGGUGAUUGCCAUCAAAUGAAAUGAGCAAAUGAAAUGUGAACCUCCACGUCUCUCAUAUUGCUCUAGUGUUAUAAUUCUGCAAUAUAAAAUUUACUUUUAAUAUAUGUAUGAUAUAUAGCUCUAUACUGUGCGCACAUUCUCUUACUGUAUUGACCAUAGCACUGUUUUCUUGAACUUUUUGAGAGUUAAAAUAAAAAUCCAGAGCAAUAUUACUUCUUAGAAAUGAAGAUUUGUGGAAUUGUGAAAUUAAAGUAUAUUUUAUCCAUAUCAGAAUACAUUUGUAGUUUCUUGGCUAAAAUGAAAAAGUUAGCAUAUUUGUAUUAAAAAAAAAAAAAGGUUGAAGUAAAUGAGGAAUUUUUUCCCCUUUUCUUUAAAACUUUUUUUUUCUCCACGAG
ensembl:lncRNA